rfam:Hordeum vulgare subsp. vulgare, WGS project CAJW01000000 data, contig: morex_contig_12676
UUAUUACUUCCUCCGUUCGAAAAUACUUGUUCUAAAAAUACAUAUAAUGGAUGUAUCUAUAAUUAAAAUAAGUCUAGAUACAUUCAUCUGUAGGCCAAGUAUUUUUGGACGGAGGUAGUAUAAA